UGCGGAGGGAUCAUUACCGAGUUUACAACUCCCAAACCCCUGUGAACAUACCAAUUGUUGCCUCGGCGGAUCAGCCCGCUCCCGGUAAAACGGGACGGCCCGCCAGAGGACCCCUAAACUCUGUUUCUAUAUGUAACUUCUGAGUAAAACCAUAAAUAAAUCAAAACUUUCAACAACGGAUCUCUUGGUUCUGGCAUCGAUGAAGAACGCAGCAAAAUGCGAUAAGUAAUGUGAAUUGCAGAAUUCAGUGAAUCAUCGAAUCUUUGAACGCACAUUGCGCCCGCCAGUAUUCUGGCGGGCAUGCCUGUUCGAGCGUCAUUUCAACCCUCAAGCCCCCGGGUUUGGUGUUGGGGAUCGGCGAGCCCUUGCGGCAAGCCGGCCCCGAAAUCUAGUGGCGGUCUCGCUGCAGCUUCCAUUGCGUAGUAGUAAAACCCUCGCAACUGGUACGCGGCGCGGCCAAGCCGUUAAACCCCCAACUUCUGAAUGUGACCUCGGAUCAGG
rnacentral:rRNA from 1 species